rnacentral:rRNA from 1 species
AACGAACGCUGGCGGCAGGCCUAACACAUGCAAGUCGAGCGAACCCUUCGGGUUAGCGGCGGACGGGUUAGUAACGCGUGGGAAUAUACCCUUUGGUACGGAAUAGCCUCGGGAAACUGAGAGUAAUACCGUAUGUGCCCUUCGGGGAAGGAUUAUCGCCAAAGGAUUAGCCCGCCGUUGGAUUAGAUAGUUGGUGGGGUAAGUGGCCUACCAAGUCUACGAUCCAUAGCUGGUUUGUAGAGGAUGAUCAGCAACACUGGGACUGAGACACGGCCCAGACUCCUACGGGAGGCAGCAGUGGGGGAAUCUUAGACAAUGGGCGCAAGCCUGAUCUAGCCAUGCCGCGUGGACGACGAAGGCCUUAGGGUUGUAAAGUCCUUUCAGAUGGGAAGAUAAUGACGGUACCAUCAGAAGAAGCCCCCGGCUAACUCCGUGCCAGCAGCCGCGGUAAUGUCUGUACU